UACGUAGGGUGCAAGCGUCGUCCGGAAUUAUUGGGCGUAAAGAGCUCGUAGGUGGCUUGUCACGUCGGGUGUGAAAUCCCAGGGCUUAACCCUGGGUCUGCAUUCGAUACGGGCUGGCUAGGGUCCUUCAGGGGAGACUGGAAUUCCUGGUGUAGCGGUGGAAUGCGCAGAUAUCAGGAGGAACACCGGUGGCGAAGGCGGGUCUCUGGGAAGGUACCGACGCUGAGGAGCGAAAGCGUGGGGAGCGAACAGG
rnacentral:rRNA from 1 species